CCCUUAGAUGUUCUGGGCGGCCCGCGCACUACAAUGGCGUGUGCAGCGAGUGCCGAAGUAGAGUUUUCCGAGGUAUUCUUGCAAUGCUCGUUCUGAUGGGGAUAGACCCUUGCAACUGUUGGUUUUGAACGAGGAAUUCCUUGUAAGCAUGGUUUAUCAUCCGACGCUGAAUGCGUCCCUGCCCUUUGUACACACCGCCCGUCGCUCCUACCGAUGAGUCGUCCGGUGAAGUUCGUAGACCUCGUGAUCGCGGAUCACUGGGGGAAGCAAAAUGAACCUCGCGGUUUAGAGGAAGGAGAAGUCGUAACA
rnacentral:rRNA from 1 species